UACGUAGGGGGCGAGCGUUGUCCGGAUUUAUUGGGCGUAAAGAGCUCGUAGGCGGUUCGGCAAGUCAGAUGUAAAAACUCCAGGCUCAACUUGGAGAGGCCAUCUGAUACUGCCGUGACUAGAGUCCGGUAGAGGAGCACGGAAUUCCUGGUGUAGCGGUGAAAUGCGUAGAUAUCUGGAGGAACACCGGUGGCGAAGGCGGCGUUCUGGACUGCUACUGACACUGAGGAACGAAAGCCAGGGGAGCAAACGGG
rnacentral:rRNA from 1 species